rnacentral:rRNA from 1 species
GCAAGUCGAACGGCAGCAUGCUAUUUUUUCGGAAAUAGUGAUGGCGAGUGGCGGACGGGUGAGUAACACGUAGGUAUCUACCUAGAAGAGGGGGACAACCCGGGGAAACUCGGGCUAAUACCGCAUAAUCUCUAUGGAGGAAAGUUGGGGACCUUAGGGCCUGACGCUUUUAGAUGAGCCUGCGGCAGAUUAGCUUGUUGGUGGGGUAAAGGCCUACCAAGGCAACGAUCUGUAGCUGGUCUGAGAGGAUGAUCAGCCACACUGGGACUGAGACACGGCCCAGACUCCUACGGGAGGCAGCAGUGGGGAAUUUUGGACAAUGGGCGAAAGCCUGAUCCAGCAAUACCGCGUGUGUGACGAAGGCCUUCGGGUCGUAAAGCACUUUCAAUUGUGAAGAAAUGCACAUGGUUAAUAGCUAUGUGGGCUGACGUUAACAAUAGAAGAAGCACCGGCUAACUCUGUGCCAGCAGCCGCGGUAAUACAGAGGGUGCAAAGCGUUAAUCGGAAUUACUGGGGCGUAAAAGCGCGCGUAGGUGGACAAAAUAAAGUCAUG